CCGGCCGCAGCCCGGCGCCGCUCCGCCCGUGGCGACUCAGACCGCCGUGGGCACCGGCUGACGGUCCUGCCCGCCACGCGCCUCAUCCUGGAGGUUGUGUGCACUUGCUUUCCUGGCAGCUGGAUGAUACCUUUGGCGACGCUGCUGACACCUAUCGCUGCCGGGUUUCACUACAGUUGAUGUCGGGCGUCGCCGUCGAGCUUACCUCUGACAUGACUUCUGUGAUGGAUAACGACGGAUAGUGAGCGUGUUGUCGCGUUUUCGGGACGGAAGAGUGCUGGAGAUGACCCAGAGAGCGUGGUCCAUGGACCAAGUGUGCAUGUGCGUACCGAUUCGCCCGAUAGCCUUUCACUAGUGUGCCUAAAUUGUAGCAGGCUCCGAGCAUGGUCAUGUGGAUGGUAUUUCACUUUUUUUCAUCGUUUUUUCAUCGUUAACGAAUCUAGAAAGUUCUUCAGUUCUGCAGAUCUGGUGCACAUUGAGACAAUGGCUCAAAGUGAUUAUUUCGUUAAAUUGCAAGGAUUGUUUUACGCUUGUUUGUUUGUUGCCAGGUGUGGUGCUGAGUAUGGUGCUGACAUAUUAAAAUCAUGGUGGCAUUGGCACCGAAAACGCAGACAAAUCAGUGCCGUGUGUUUAGUUGCACUGCUGUAAGCGCACAAAGGUGCAUGCAGACAGUCAAGAUCUCAAUACAGUCACAUUCAAGCAAG